rnacentral:rRNA from 1 species
UACGUAGGUGGCAAGCGUUGUCCGGAAUUACUGGGCGUAAAGCGCACGUAGGCGGCUUUGUAAGUUAGAGGUGAAAGCCUGGAGCUCAACUCCAGAAUUGCCUUUAAGACUGCAUCGCUUGAACGUCUGAGAGGUGAGUGGAAUUCCGAGUGUAGAGGUGAAAUUCGUAGAUAUUCGGAAGAACACCAGUGGCGAAGGCGGCUCACUGGACGACUGUUGACGCUGAGGUGCGAAAGCGUGGGGAGCAAACAGG